rnacentral:rRNA from 1 species
UUGACCUCGAAUCAGGUAGGGAUACCCGCUGAACUUAAGCAUAUCAAUAAGCGGAGGAAAAGAAACCAACCGGGAUUACCUCAGUAACGGCGAGUGAAGNNNNNNNNNNNNNNNNNNNNNAUCUGGCUCCAUUCGGAGUCCGAGUUGUAAUUUGGAGAAGAUGCUUUGGGUUGUGGGUUCGGCCUAAGUUCCUUGGAACAGGACGUCAUAGAGGGUGAGAAUCCCGUAUGUGGCCGAGGCCUGCGCCCGUGUAAAGCUCUUUCGACGAGUCGAGUUGUUUGGGAAUGCAGCUCAAAAUGGGUGGUAAAUUUCAUCUAAAGCUAAAUAUGGGCCAGAGACCGAUAGCGCACAAGUAGAGUGAUCGAAAGAUGAAAAGCACUUUGGAAAGAGAGUUAAACAGCACGUGAAAUUGUUGAAAGGGAAGCGCUUGCAACCAGACUUGGGCGCUGCUGAUCAUCCAGAGUUCUCUCUGGUGCACUCGACAGCGCACAGGCCAGCAUCGGUUCGGGUGGCUGGAGAAAGACCGGCGGAACGUAGCUCCCCUUCGGGAGAGUGUUAUAGCCUCUGGUGUCAUACAGCCCAGCCGGACCGAGGACCGCGCCUUCGGGCUAGGAUGCUGGCGUAAUGGUUGUAAGCGACCCGUCUUGAAACACGGACCAAGGAGUCUAACAUCUAUGCGAGUGUUUGGGCGUUAAACCCAUACGCGGAAUGAAAGUGAACGUAGGUGAGAACCCUUUGGGGUGCAUCAUCGACCGAUCCUGAUGUCUUCGGAUGGAUUUGAGUAAGAGCAUAGCUGUUGGGACCCGAAAGAUGGUGAACUAUGCCUGAAUAGGGUGAAGCCAGAGGAAACUCUGGUGGAGGCUCGCAGCGGUUCUGACGUGCAAAUCGAUCGUCAAAUUUGGGUAUAGGGGCGAAAGACUAAUCGAACCAUCUAGUAGCUGGU